UUGGGCGUAAGGGCUCGCAGGCGGUUUCUUAAGUCUGAUGUGAAAGCCCCCGGCUCAACCGGGGAGGGUCAUUGGAAACUGGGGAACUUGAGUGCAGAAGAGGAGAGUGGAAUUCCACGUGUAGCGGUGAAAUGCGUAGAGAUGUGGAGGAACACCAGUGGCGAAGGCGACUCUCUGGUCUGUAACUGACGCUGAGGAGCGAAAGCGUGGGGAGCGAACAGGAUUAGAUACCCUGGUAGUCCACGCCGUAAACGAUGAGUGCUAAGUGUUAGGGGGUUUCCGCCCCUUAGUGCUGCAGCUAACGCAUUAAGCACUCCGCCUGGGGAGUACGGUCGCAAGACUGAAACUCAAAGGAAUUGACGGGGGCCCGCACAAGCGGUGGAGCAUGUGGUUUAAUUCGAAGCAACGCGAAGAACCUUACCAGGUCUUGACAUCCUCUGACAAUCCUAGAGAUAGGACGUCCCCUUCGGGGGCAGAGUGACAGGUGGUGCAUGGUUGUCGUCAGCUCGUGUCGUGAGAUGUUGGGUUAAGUCCCGCAACGAGCGCAACCCUUGAUCUUAGUUGCCAGCAUUCAGUUGGGCACUCUAAGGUGACUGCCGGUGACAAACCGGAGGAAGGUGGGGAUGACGUCAAAUCAUCAUGCCCCUUAUGACCUGGGCUACACACGUGCUACAAUGGACAGAACAAAGGGCAGCGAAACCGCGAGGUUAAGCCAAUCCCACAAAUCUGUUCUCAGUUCGGAUCGCAGUCUGCAACUCGACUGCGUGAAGCUGGAAUCGCUAGUAAUCGCGGAU
rnacentral:rRNA from 1 species